AUUCUGCCCAUGCGGGGAAGGAUGAGAAGCUUCGACCAAGGUUCGACUCGAGCGCCAGCGAGAGAGCGUGGCCGCAGGCAACGACCCGAAGGGCGAAGC
rnacentral:sRNA from 1 species